rnacentral:rRNA from 1 species
AUUGAACGCUGGCGGCAGGCCUAACACAUGCAAGUCGAGCGAGCGGCGGACGGGUGAGUAAUGUAUGGGGAUCUGCCCGAUAGAGGGGGAUAACUACUGGAAACGGUGGCUAAUACCGCAUACUAUCGGCUGAACCCAUUUGGGAUUAGCUAGUAGGUGGGGUAAAGGCUCACCUAGGCGACGAUCUCUAGCUGGUCUGAGAGGAUGAUCAGCCACACUGGAACUGAGACACGGUCCAGACUCCUACGGGAGGCAGCAGUGGGGAAUAUUCGGCAAUGGGCGAAAGUCUGACCGAGCAACGCCGCGUGAGUGAAGAAGGUUUUCGGAUUGUAAAGCACUGUUGGUAGGGAGGCGGUACCUAACGAGAAAGCCACGGCUAACUACGUGCCAGCAGCCGCGGUAAUAC